AUUUCCUACGGGACGCAGCAGUGGGGAAUAUUGCACAAUGGGGGAAACCCUGAUGCAGCAACGCCGCGUGAGUGAAGAAGUCAGUCAUGAUGUAAAGUUCUAUCAGCAGGGAAGAAAAUGACGGUACCUGAGUAAGAAGCCCCGGCUAACUACGUGCCAGCAGCCGCGGUAAUACGUAGGGGGCAAGCGUUAUCCGGAUUUACUGGGUGUAAAGGGAGCGUAGACGGCCAGACAAGUCUGAAGUGAAAAUCCAGCGCUUAACGUUGGAAGUGCUCUGGAAACUGCCGGGCUAGAGGGCAGGAGGG
rnacentral:rRNA from 1 species